AUGACUCCCUCCUUGGCUAUGUCUGACCGGACAAACGCCGAGCCCCGGAGCCACCCGUGCCGGGAGGUUUUCGGAUGGCGCUGCCCGUCCCGCAGCCGGGCCCUGUCAGGGAGCCGGGCAUGGCCCCGCCGCCUCCCCCACAGCCCCCGCACACGUCCUCGCCUUCCCCUCGGCCACAACCCGAAGGGAACCGCAGCCGACACCUCAGCGGCUCCGUGUUGGGGCUGGGGGCUCCGGGCUCCCUCCCUCCCCUGCCUCCCCGCCCCUGCCCUGCAUUGGCUGCGGGCGGCUGACGGGCAGCCGGGGAGGCCGCUGGCAGCCGGCCGCGGAGGGGCAUGCCUGCACCGGGGGGUCCGUGCCGAGCCGAGCCGAGCCGUGCCGAGCCAAAAAGGGGCAGCCAGAGCCGCUCCUGAGCGCCGAGAUGGGGGUGGAGAUCGAGACCAUCUCUCCGGGAGACGGACGGACGUUUCCAAAGAAGGGUCAGACGUGUGUGGUGCACUACACAGCCAUCACAUUCUUGGGAGACGAAAGCUGACGUGAAGAGGUGCAGGAGCCGUGGGCAAGAAAAGGAGCAAGCAAGAGAGUGAGUAAUUGGUUCAGGCACUCGUGAGAGUGCUGGAAGAGUUGUGCUGCAGUCCCUGUCUUCAGAAUUAGUUCUGUACUUUUUUUUUAUCCAGUGACUUAUUUUUUUUUUCCCACUGUCAUCACCUUGGCAACUUGCUUGGCCACGUAACUUCUUGCAGCGGGCCCUCCCGCUCUCAUACCAGUGCGCACACAGUGUGGUGGUGAUGUCCUUAGCACAGUGGUUCCUUGCUUCCCUGGAGGGCUCGGUUUUUGGAAUAGGUUUAGGAGAAACAUUGCUUGUUCACGAAGUAUUUGUGUCUUGAGAGUUUCCGGUAAGGAGGAGGAGACCAGAAGGGGCUUGCUUCUGCCAGAGCAAGUUACGAAUUUUCAAGGACUCUGUAUUUUUGUCAAGGGCUCUAUUUUGCCUUCCUUCCCCAUCUUCCCUUCCCUUGCCAACAGUCUCGUAGAGGUGUGUUUGCCGUAGGAUGAGGAGUGAUGGCAGAGAGAGCAUGGGCAGGAGUGGGCUGCUACCACUACAGGAGAAAAAGGGCUGCAGCUUGCUUCUGAAGUGUAUUUGGGAAAAGGUUUUUAGGAGCAAGCUGUCUGUUAGGGUUUGUCCUGACAGUCCAUCUGCAACAGGUUGGAGGUUGAGCAUCCCAGCCUAAUGCAGAAAAUGCCCAGAGAGGACCACAGGCUGCCGCCCUAGGUAUUUGGCAGAACUUUUGAGUCCUGUCUGGUCAUCCUGUGCACCUUCCCAUUCGUGCAUCUUCAAGGUAGGGAUUCACCAGGGUAGUUUCUAGUCUGACAACCCUACGUGUUCCUGAGAAGUGGGAAGUGAGAACUGGAAUCUCCUCAAGAUGAGGGAGAACUGUGACUGAGCUUUACACUUCCGUCAGCGCUGCAGCUAUUAUGCUGUUAAAUGUGGCAGCUCUGCCUCUUUUCUCUCCUCAUGCAAUUAGAUGCAUAACCUCAGGAGCAGACUUUGUGGUCUGACUCACAAAUGUGUUUUGAUGCCUUAGUGGAUAAACCUAAGUUCCAGUGGCAGCAGGCGUUAAUGUGCAACCUCACUAGGGAACGGUUUAGAAGGAACCUCUAGUUUAAUCAAUUUUCUCUCUUUUUUUCUCCUUUUGUGGUGAUUACAUAGGAAGACUGUGAUAGAAUAUGAAGCUGGGUCUUAGUAUAUGACUGAAGAAAGUGAUCAAAUUCCCCUAUGUUUUAUCUUUCUCAAGAAAUUGUAGAGCUUAGUGCUAUGGUUUAGUGGAGGACUUGUUAGUGUUAGGUCAGAGGUUGGACUAGGCGAUCUUGGAGGUCUCUUCCAACCUAGAUGAUUCUGUGAAAUAUAAUUUCUUCUUAUCAUCCGGCAUCUAUGCUGUGUCUCAAAAGCUACCUGACCCAGCAAAGUAAUGGGAUUAGUAGAUAUGGUAGUGAGUUGGCAUCGAAACGCAUUUCCAGCAGCAGUGGUUUAUGUCAUGUUUGUGUCGUAGAUUUCUUGAAGCAAGCUUCUGAAAGCUUUUGGCAAUCUGCUCCCUCCUUCUGUUUUCUGUCUGCAAAAUGAUAGUUGUACUUCGUGUGCCUCGUACGUUGAUAGAUUGCAAGCAAUUUGGGAUAUGAACUGCCUCCUUCUUCAUGCCUAAUGUAAUAGCGUCCUAAUCGUGAUUGGGUCUUCAGGUUACGUUGCAGCACUGAUAGUAGUACCAAUAAACAAAUUACACUAUCAUUAGUCCUGGAGUGU
rnacentral:lncRNA from 1 species